UGGUGCUUGGCAACACUGCCCAGUGAGAGCCAUGGGAUCGACAGUGACAGCAGUGAUAGAUGGUGAUGAGAAACAAGUGAUGAUGGCAUGAUUGUGAGUGAUGAUCAUUGAGACAGCCGCAGAUGCCACGGUGCCGCUGUUAGGAGAGGCUUAUUAGGAGGACAUGCAUAAAAUCUGUUUAUAUUCACUUCGCGGUAGUGUCAUGCAUUCAUCACUAUGAAAGAAAGAAUGAAUGAUUGAAAAAUAACGAGACUAAUAAUGGUAAAGAUCACCACCGGAAUGAGAAGUACGCGAAAGAAGGUCGCCAAAGGAUAUUGAUCAAUAAAAUAGGAAUGAUGACCUACAUACUCGAAGAAGAACAAAGAGCCACAUGACUUAUAAAACCUCGUUUGCAACAAAACUAAAUUGAUACAAAACUCGUUUCUCAUUUCUAUGUGUCCCUCUCCUGGACAACUCACGGUGCUGGAGUUUCAAAAAAUUUAUUACUUGCAUCGAGACAGAAGCAAACAUUACCCACGUGUCCGAUCUCCUGACCACCGACCUCGAUGGAUAUGAAUGCAACCGUCUCCAGCUGGCAGUGGGUGUCUGCAACGCCAAAGCGGAGAAGAACAGGUGGUUCUGCAGAGGCAAAGCAGAGGUGCUGCACAGAGCCCUGGCUGUGUUCUUCUCGGCCACAAACUGCGGGGCGCUCACGUCGACUUGUAGAGGCUUGAAACUGGGAGGAGCGACCGGAGCGACGGUGCUGUCUACUUUGGUCGUGAUGGCGGUGAUUCUCGCUCUCCUGGGCAUCAUCCUGGUCAAACGGGGAGUCGUGGCUUUGAACAGCACGAGGAGACGACACGAGGAGAUGCACGAUUCCGACGGGCCACAAGAGGACUACAGCAGACUCACUUAGAAGCGGCUUUGCUCGCUUGUGUGUGUGUGUGUGUGUGUGUCGGGGAGGGUGUGUGUUGCUAUGCGCUGGGGGUCAAUGGGUGGCAGGGGUGGAGGACGAGA
rnacentral:lncRNA from 1 species